CGAAGGAUGCAAGCGUUAUCCGGAUUUAUUGGGUUUAAAGGGAGCGUAGGCGGUCUUAUAAGUCAGUGGUGAAAUCUCGUUGCUUAACAACGACCGUGCCAUUGAUACUGUAGGACUUGAGUACAGUUGCCGUUGGCGGAAUGUGUCAUGUAGCGGUGAAAUGCAUAGAUAUGACACAGAACACCGAUUGCGAAGGCAGCUGACGAAACUGUAACUGACGCUGAGGCUCGAAAGCGUGGGGAUCAAACAGGAUUAGAUACCCUGGUAGUCCACGCCCUAAACUAUGAUUACUCGCUGUCGGCGAUAUACAGUCGGUAGCUAAGCGAAAGCGUUAAGUAAUCCACCUGGGGAGUACGCCCGCAAGGGUG
rnacentral:rRNA from 1 species